UUAUUUGUGAGUUGUUGUCUUAUCAGUUCGUUACGCACUUAUAUUAAUUUCUUCUAUAGCCUACCCCAACACCUAAGCGUCCUAAUGAAGAUGAACUUGGAGAUUCUGAUGAGGAAAGUGUACGUUCGAAAAAAAAGUACGUCGACGAGCAGUCGGUUCGGAAUUGGAAAGAUCUGCAAAGAUCCCAACCAUCAUCAUCUACCCAAAGAACCUACUGUAACUGACAAAGAACGCGAAGAUAUUCUAAAAUUUGUAGAAAAUGUUGUUACAGAGAUGAUAUUAUAUUAUAUUGCUGACAUUAAUUCGGCAAAUGAAAAUGGUUCCAAAAAGUAUCUGUGAUUAGGGCAAGACCAAUCUUGAUUGUCAAUGUGGGAUGCUAGCUCAACAGUAUCUGGACUGUAUUUUUUGAUGAAAUGAAUAAUCCAAUCAUAAUGGUUAUCAAACACAGACGAAGGUGAGUAAGUUUUGUUAAAUUUACGCAUAUGUGACCAAAUAAUUGAAAUAGGUGUAGUUCUGUUAAAGGAUUCACAUAAUUUGUAACAACCUAAUCUUCUUUCAGAUCUAAUUAUGUAUUUCUUCUUAGCUUGAAGCUUUUUAUAGUUUAUAUAAUUCUCAUCACUUGGGUCUUCUUUGAAUUGGAGGUGAUAGCUGCCUAAUGGAUCGUCGAAGACCAUCCAGUCACCUUGUAAAGAGAUGGAAGGAGAGACUAUGUUUAAAUCCAAGACAUUAGGUCUCCAUAUGUGAGAGCCGACUGUAGUAACAUGACCAUCAUUUAGUAGGACUAAAUUGUUUUUAUGAAUGACAUCUAAAAUGUCUUUGCCCCUGCAAUCAGAGGUUUGGCUGCCCCAAACUAUAUUAUGACAGUUCCCCCUCAAUAUUGAUAUAGAUUCAAAAUUGACAUAAUAAUAUAAAUGUGACAAUCCCCCGCCAAGAAAAUUGGUUGAGGGAGGCUUUUAAUUAAAUUAUUCAGUUUAUGUGGUGAAAAAGGAGGGCUGCAAUUACCUGGGCUGUAAAGGCUUACAAUAGUUAAUUCCUUGCAAUUUGAAUAUUUAAUUCUAAUAGCUAUAUUUUGAAGAGAAUUAUCAUAAACAGUAUUUACAUUAGAGUAAGAGAUAGAUCUAUGUACAAGUAUGGCUACACCAUUGUGAGAGUUUCCUGAGUGUAGUCUUACUAUAUCGAAAUUAUGCAAUUUAAAUUUAUGAUGAGAUUUAAGCCAAGUCUCGCAAAGAAUGGCCACAUGAAUAUUGUUAUCAAAAAGAAAAUGGUUGAAAAUAUGUUGAUUGUGCAAUAUACUCUGAGCAUUCCACUGUACUAUAUUUAAAGUAUCCAUUAGGAUAUAAUUAAAGAUUGUUUACUAUUCUGCUUUUUGAAAGAAUCUUUUAAAACAUCGUUUUAUGGUUUCAGAGCAAAUUUUGGAUUCAUUGGUCCUGUUGAGGGUGAUUAAUUUAACAAGUGAUUCAGUAAUGGUUUUAAGUAUUAUUUCUGAAUUGAGUAAUGAAAGAAAUUGGUCUGUUUUACUAUGUGAGGGAAAAUUAGUGCUAUUAAGAGCUUGUGCAUAACUUUUAUUUUGAAAUUUAUCCUUAGUUUGCUGAAUUUUUUCUUUUUUGAUAGGGCAAAUAGAAGAUAUUGAAAUAUGGUUCCCUUUACAAUGGCAACAAGAGGCCUCUUUGGGGUUAACGUUGCAAGAUUUAAAGUUGUGACCUUCUCCACAGAUGGAGCACCUUUCAGCGUAUUUACAAAAUUUGGCGAUGUGACCAUAUUAUCUCAAGCCACGGAGGCACUGUUUUACUGGAGGUAUGUAGGCACGAACUUCAAAUCUCCAACUAUUCAAGUCAACACUCUCAGUAUCUUACUCAGAAAUGAUGGAGUCCGACUCAGAGUCCCGCACCGCAGCGCUUUCCUCGGAGUCUCCCUCGACAUCUUCUUUUUUCUUACGCCCUUUUCUACCGCGGGACAUCGCGGCAACAAUCACACUUUAUAACCUACCCCAACACCUAAGCGUCCUAAUGAAGAUGAACUUGGAGAUUCUGAUGAGGAAAGUGUACGUUCGAAAAAAAAGUACGUCGACGAGCUUCAGGAUAGAAACGGACAUAAUUCGGUAAUUUAAAUGAAAUAUACUUAUCAGUAUCUUACUCAGAAAUGAUGGAGUCCGACUCAGAGUCCCGCACCGCAGCGCUUUCCUCGGAGUCUCCCUCGACAUCUUUUUUCUUACGCCCUUUUCUACCGCGGGACAUCGCGGCAACAAUCACACUUUAUAAGUAAAUAAAACUUU